UACGUAGGUGGCAAGCGUUGUCCGGAAUUAUUGGGCGUAAAGCGCGCGCAGGCGGUCCUUUAAGUCUGAUGUGAAAGCCCACGGCUCAACCGUGGAGGGUCAUUGGAAACUGGGGGACUUGAGUGCAGGAGAGAAGAGUGGAAUUCCACGUGUAGCGGUGAAAUGCGCAGAUAUCAGGAGGAACACCUAUUGCGAAGGCAGCUCGCUGGGACGUAACUGACGCUGAGACGCGAAAGCGUGGGGAGCAAACAGG
rnacentral:rRNA from 1 species